rnacentral:rRNA from 1 species
AACGAACGCUGGCGGCAGGCUUAACACAUGCAAGUCGAACGCACCGCAAGGUGAGUGGCAGACGGGUGAGUAACACGUGGGGAUCUGCCCAAUGGUACGGAAUAGCUCCGGGAAACUGGAAUUAAUACCGUAUGUGCCCUUCGGGGGAAAGAUUUAUCGCCAUUGGAUGAACCCGCGUCGGAUUAGCUAGUUGGUGAGGUAAAGGCUCACCAAGGCGACGAUCCGUAGCUGGUCUAAGAGGAUGAUCAGCCACACUGGGACUGAGACACGGCCCAGACUCCUACGGGAGGCAGCAGUGGGGAAUAUUGGACAAUGGGCGCAAGCCUGAUCCAGCCAUGCCGCGUGAGUGAUGAAGGCCUUAGGGUUGUAAAGCUCUUUCGCCGACGAAGAUAAUGACGGUAGUCGGAGAAGAAGCCCCGGCUAACUUCGUGCCAGCCGCCGCCGCGGUAA